rnacentral:rRNA from 1 species
UACGUAGGGGGCAAGCGUUGUCCGGAUUCAUUGGGCGUAAAGAGCUCGUAGGCGGUUCGGUAAGUCGGGUGUGAAAUCUCCGUGCUCAACACGGAGCGGCCACCUGAUACUGCCGUGACUCGAGUCCGGUAGGGGAGUGUGGAAUUCCCGGUGUAGCGGUGAAAUGCGCAGAUAUCGGGAGGAACACCAGUGGCGAAAGCGGCCACCUGGACUGCACCUGACGCUCAAACGCGAAAGCUAGGGGAGCGAACGGG